AUACGUAGGGAGCGAGCGUUGUCCGGAAUUACUGGGUGUAAAGGGAGCGUAGGCGGGAGUGCAAGUCAGAUGUGAAAUACAUGGGCUCAACCCAUGGGCUGCAUUUGAAACUGCAUUUCUUGAGUGAAGUAGAGGUAAACGGAAUUCCUGGUGUAGCGGUGAAAUGCGUAGAUAUCAGGAGGAACACCGGUGGCGAAGGCGGCUUACUGGGCUUUUACUGACGCUGAGGCUCGAAAGCGUGGGGAGCAAACAGGAUUAGAUACCCUGGUAGUCCACGCUGUAAACGAUGAUUACUAGGUGUGGGGGGACUGACCCCUUCCGUGCCGCAGUUAACACAAUAAGUAAUCCACCUGGGGAGUACGGCCGCAAGGUUGAAACUCAAAUGAAUUGACGGGG
rnacentral:rRNA from 1 species